AUUGAGAAAAAACAUUUUAUUUCUAUAUCCAUUUAUUAUUUUGGUCUGUAAAAAUAUAAGACUAAUAUACAACUACAUCUAGCUUGAUUUUUGUAAAAUCAAUCUUCAUUCGGUGAGAUACCAAUGUACAUUAUACAUUAAAGUUGUAAGAAAAAUACUGAUAUUUGACAUUUUAAACAAGUUCAUUCAUGUAAAAAUCACAUUGCAAGUAAAAUUUAAUUAGAAAAUACAUAAUAUUCACAAAAAUACACAUGUUAAAGACAGCUUGUGAGAACAUUGUCCUAAAUUUAAUUCAGGUGUGGAAAAAACCAUGAUUCACAGUUAGGCUUGACUUCUCCAGUACCAUAGCAGAACUUUAAAGUAAAUGCAUCUUAAUUCUAUUAAGAAUUUGUUCUUCUUCCUAUUAAGGUGCACUUAGAUCUCCCGGUCACCAGGGAGGAAUCACUUGUCCCCCUCCGUGCAUGUAUACAACAUAUAACACUAGUCAAAGGAAUUUUAGUUUUUCAUUCCAUUCUCAAAUAAUUUGGGUAGUUCAUAAAUUAAUUUAUAAAAUCUGGAUUGAAAAUACAAUUUACACACACAGGAUACUUGAUACACAGAUUACAUCAAUAGCAGCGUAAUAUUGUCAAUCAUGCGCAGCAUCCUCACCAUCACUUCUGGAUUUUUUUCUCCUUUUUUUAGCUAUAGGUAAAAUCUAUAUAAAACAGUCAAGCCUUUAAGUAUCGUCUUCCAGGGAGAAAACAGUAGAGAUGUUAAAAAUUUAGGAGGUAGUGAAUGAAAGGCUAACAAUAUCAGCAUAUUUUAAAAAACCUUAUACUGAACCCCAGUAUCAUUUAUAUAUAAAAUUAAAUUUAGCCACUCAUAAUCAACCAUUGAUCAUCCUGAAGUAGCAAAUUAAAAAUCUUUUGUAAUUAACAGUGUACGUAUUAGUAAGAUAUGGAAGAACUUUAGAAACUUUAUGGUAACUGCAGCAUUAAGCAAUUACAUGCUGUGCAGUCUGUCGUUUUAACUGUAGAUACACAUUUUUUAGAUUUAUUCUUUAAAGUUCUUAUCAAGUCCCAAAUGCUUGGUUUUACUACAUGCCAUGAAAUUUCUGUGGAACAGAACACAGUCGACAUCAAAAAGAACAUUAUCCCGUGUUUAGAUUAGUCAGUUUGCAGGAAAGGUCCCAGGAGAUGAAGUCUCAUGCAGUUCAGAGUAGGACCCCAGUUACAUUUCUCCAAGUCCAUAAUACUGGCAUCAAUAUUAAUCAACCUGCCCAGGGCCGUGCCUGGCAGCACAGCAGCCUCAGGCUGGGACUGCCGGGGCUCCCGGCCAGCCCCAGCCCUCCCAGGCACCCCAUCCUCACGGAGCACACCAGCCCAGAGCAGAUCUGCACAGAAAAUCACUUUUAUAUAAUCCAGAAUCAUUCCUCCUGGUCAGCCCCAGCCCUCCCAUCCUCACGGAGCACACCACCCCAGAGCAGAUCUGCACGGAAAGUCACUUUUAUACAAUCCAGAAUCAUUCCUCCUGGCCAGGCCAUCCCUCCCAUCCUCACAGCCCACACCAGCCCAGAGCAGAUCUGCACAGAAAAUCACUUUUAUAUAAUCCAGAAUCAUUCCUCCUGGCCAGGCCAGCCCUCCCAUCCUCACAGACCACACCAGCCCAGAGAGGAUCUGCACAGAAAAGUCACUUUUAUAUAAUCCAGAAUCAUUCCUCCUGGCCAGGCCCAGCCCUCCCAUCCUCACAGACCACACCAGCCCAGAGAGGAUCUGCACAGAAAAGUCACUUUUAUACAAUCCAGAAUCAUUCCUCCUGGCCAGGCCAGCCCUCCCAUCCUCACAGACCACACCAGCCCAGAGAGGAUCUGCACAGAAAAGUCACUUUUAUACAAUCCAGAAUCAUUCCUCCUGGCCAGGCCAGCCCUCCCAUCCUCACAGACCACACUGCCCCAGAGCGGAUCUGCACGGAAUGGAAAUGUUACACCUGCAGUGAGUGCACUACCAGUUCAUUCUCUGUACCUGUGGACCUCUCUUCUCUUCCCAAGUGCCUUUACUCCUUUGACUAUUCACAAUACAUUCAAGUAAACCAAAGGCACAGAAGUGCAAACUAGCAGAAAAAUGAGUCUCACCCUCCACUGGUGAUUUCAUACAGGAAGGAAAGUCUUUUGACAAAGGAAAAUAAAAAAGAUAUUUUCAAAGUAAACAAUCUUCUGUAAAGAAAGGAAGUGUAGAGCAGCGCUGAGAGAAAACAUGUACAGGUAAAGUCUCCCUGUAGCAGAAUGAACAUUUCUUUCUCUCAUUUCAUACUAAGUGGAUGCAGUUACUUCAUUUUUAAUAAUUAUUAGCAAAACAAGUGAAACACUUGAAAGCUCUUGUUCUUGUAAAAGAUUCCAGGGCUCUCCACACA